rnacentral:rRNA from 1 species
UACGAAGGGGGCUAGCGUUGCUCGGAAUUACUGGGCGUAAAGCGCACGUAGGCGGAUUGUUAAGUCAGGGGUGAAAUCCUGGAGCUCAACUCCAGAACUGCCUUUGAUACUGAAGAUCUUGAGUUCGGGAGAGGUGAGUGGAACUGCGAGUGUAGAGGUGAAAUUCGUAGAUAUUCGCAAGAACACCAGUGGCGAAGGCGGCUCACUGGUCCGGUACUGACGCUGAGGUGCGAAAGCGUGGGGAGCAAACAGGG